CUGCGGUACCUUCAGCAAUAUGGCAGAAGAUUUGCGAUAAUAGGUUUCGAAGACAGUCUGCCAACAAUCCAGUACAUGGAGACAGUAUUCAAAUGGUUCACUAUACACAACAUCAGAAGUACCACCUUUCACAUUGUAAGCCGGGACCCAAACAGGAUGCCGUUCAGCUCUCCAGAUGAUGACAGGUUGCUGUGGCUGGAAAAAGAAUUUUUGCCCUUCUUCGCAUCGUGGAAGGCUGCAGCACCCCACAAGAGGGCAUUCAUAUCUGUCGAAACACACGAAGCUUUGCAGGUCACCACAAUGUCCACAGUCCGGUGCACACAAUUCUUCCUCCGUUCCGGUUUCCUUUAUGUGUUGACUUCAAAAUUAUCCAGUGACCCUGUCGAGGCACUUUUUUCCACCAUUCGGCAACUAAAUGGGUCGAACGACCUGACAGACGCCCGUGCAGCACUUUCAUCUCUGCAAAAAGUUCUAGUUAUGGGCAUGUUUCACUCAUCACCAAGCGGCAACACACAGAAGGCAAUGGGUCCUCUUGGAUCCCAACCCGCCCUUUCAACCUCGUGGCCCACAGAGGAAACGAAUUCAACAGCACUACAAGAGUCAAGAGCCGUUCAAGAGCCAUCAGCCAAGGCUUCAUUGGCCAUGCCUGCUCCGACAAUGGGACAAGCGAUGCGGCCAUACUUGGCGGCUCUGCGGAUUUACUGUGGCCCACCCCAGCCAGGCAUCAGGGCGAGCACGCUUGGCCUCAUUGCAGGUUUUCUCUUCAGAGCAGCUGAGGACAGCAUCAACUGCAGCCAAUGCAUGGAAAAAAUCACUGGACAUAACAAUUGUUAUGUCCAGUGACAGUGGAGGUCGUUAACUGUAGCACCAAAGUAAUGGACCACUGCCAGAACAAAGGCAUGUAGUAUGCCCAUCUCAAUUCUUCUGUUUAUGCCAGUUCUUUUUUACAGCAAUAGCUGCUAUGGGCUAACUCCCCUAGUUGUUCUGAUGUCUACUGGUGUUGUCACUGAAAUUCCCAAAUUUCUUGCUAGAAUAUUGCAAAUAAAGUUCUCAUUGUGCUGCGAGGAUUCAAGCAUACGCUCAAGAGUGGCAGUCCACCAUUCUACAUUUCAGCCACUCUGCUGAAGGUACAGUCGUGGUGAAUACUGAUCCCGGAGAGCGUGAUCUAGCCAACAGGUGCCAUGAUUGGCUAACACCUGCUUAAUGUCUGCGUACUGUACAUAGAGCUGGCAUCCCCACCUUCAAGUUCUUACACAUCACCUUCCCACUUGUGAAGGCAGUCCUAUGUUAAAUUUUCUCCUUAUAUGUGAUUACAAUGAUUGGGUGCAUCUGCUUCAUUAAUAUUCUUCUAGUGCUUGGCUUCUCAGAUUUACUGGAUGGAGCUGUUGGUGUCUUGUUUUCCUCAAGCAAAGCGUGAGAUCUAGCGAUGGGUAGCCCAAAUAUAGAUUUGAGAAAACCAAAAUGAAUUCAGCAGUAAGAACCUAAAGGGUUGUUUUGGUGUAGAUCAGUGGCCAAGUCCGGAUAUGAAAGAGGAGGAAGAAAAGCCAAGUCUUUCCACUUCAACACUGGGAGGCGCAACUCAAAUAAAUAUGACUUACUUAUUUUACUUUUUAAGGUUACUGACUUGCAUUGGCAAGUGUUCACUUCAAUAAACACUGCAUAUUUCACCAGCUACUGCAUCAUUGUUUCGCAUUGAGUGAAACUGCAAUUUUCUUUAUGCCACAAGGUGCCCAAUUUUGUGCUUUGCAGUAAGAUGUUAGCAGUGCUAUUAAGGCACUUAAUUACUCAUGAAUAGUAGUAGCAAGAAAAAAAAAAGUAAGAAAGCAGCGGCUUUUUGUGCGUAGACUAUGCAUACACCUGGUGCUCUUAUGGUCAUCUUUUUCCUAUCCGCUAAACCAUUCUAAACAAGAAAAGUUUAUCCACAGACCACAACUAAACCACAGGUACCGUUGGUAAGCAAAGUAUAUUUAUUCGGUGGCAUUUUCUGCAGCCCUGCUAUUGGGCUUUCCUUCCUUUUCAGCUGUGCAGGUUCAUUAAGAAGUGAUGAGACAGUUUGACAAUUUUAAUCGUUGAAAGACUUAGCCUUUCUCGGGUUGUUUUUUGUUGGUUUCAGACUCUGCACAUUGCAUUUUAGGGUGCGUGUUCUGUGUUUGUUGCUUUUUCUUUAUGGGUAGGGCAUGUCAACAUUUUUUACACCAUUUCAACUAUGUGGUGCCAUAGACUGUUUUUAGAUGCAGUCUUGCCCUUUCAUUCUGUAGAAUAUGAUGUCGUUCUCUUGUGUCCAAGGCCAUUUUACAGCGUGAUUGUAGCAUUUUGCUAAGUUUUGCCUCUGUCACCCAAGCUU